AGCCAAGCCUUGUGCUCACACGAGGAUGCAAAGACAAUUAAUUCCUCCUGCAGGAGGCUCUGCCCUCGUGGAGGGAGGUGGACUAGAGGAGCUAUGAACCCAGCAGGUGAAAUGCUUUCAACUCUGCCACUUGAGAAGGGCACAAGGUCGGCUGAGAAGCAGAUUUCAGAGAUCAAACCGUGCUCUCCUCUCCAUGGCUCACUCAAGCCCUGGUUCACUAAAGCAGCCAGGAUUCCAGAUUGCCUCCCAGUUCACAGUCCCAACCCAUGGAAGCUAGGAAUGAAUCCUGCCUUGCCUGCAGGCAUCAUCCCCUCUGCGUUCCACAGUGCCCUGGUCAGCGGCAGUCAGGGAUGGAAGGGACUGCAGUGCUUGGAACCCCUGCAGAGGACCUCCUCUGCCCAGAGCAAUGAAUUCAUUUUACAUAAGAAGCAAAAAUAAGAUGGUCUCAUCAUCAACUGCCAGCGUUUACUUUGGCUGCAAGCACCAAGCUAUCAGAACCACCCUGAGCACACACAUGCACACCUAUGUUUGAACAGCGUGAGGUCACUAAACAACACCAAGCAAGCUUAAAAACCAAAUCAUCUUGAUGGAGCUUUCCUUCUCUCUUCCCCACUCGCUGCCAUAAACACAGUUAGAAAAGGAUGAAUAGCUGACGCCGAGUUGACCCUGUCUGCAUUGGACAGCACUACUGAAUCACUGUGUAAGUCACACUCUUUGUAUUUUUUUUCCCUCUGUUUCUGUGGGAAACAUCUCUGCAACGUCACGAAGGUCAGCACAACUCCUUGCAAUGACAGCUCCAUCCUGAAUGGGCUCAGACGUACUAAACAUGGGUCUGUCAGAAGCUAUGAGCCAUCCACCUCCAUGGCUGGAGUGGGACAUGGGAACAUAAGCACUGCCUGGGUUGGGGCAGGUGGGUUUCAAGCAAAUGCACUUCAAUGCAGCGUUUAGGCCCAGUGUGAUUUUGAAUGAAGUCAGCGGCACCACUGGCAAGGCUUUUUCCCAUUGGUCUUAUACUCAGCUUACACCUCACAUAACUAAACAAUUUAUAAGGAUAAGAUAUGUAGGAACACCUGAUUUUCCAAAGCAGAUCUGACAACCGGGAUGCUCCAGGCAGAAAUGAAAGCGCCCACAGCAGACCUAUCCAGCACACCAAGGAAAACCUCAGAGAAAGCACUGCGUAAGCAAACAUUCAAUCCUGACUCUCAACCCCAGCAGUCGCCAUACCCCUCUGAAAUGCGGCUCCUAUCUUGACAUAGCCAGCAAAUUCUGUCGUGCAGGCACUUUUUAGAAGAGAUUGUACUAAAUACGAGAAUAGUUUUGUUAGGGAAACAUCCUGCUGUGGGUUUCCUG
rnacentral:lncRNA from 7 species